UCUGCAGAUAACGGCCGGAGGAGAAGCUCGAUCGCGUCCAACUUCCGGCCACACGCACGUCGUCCCAGCUGAUAUCACCUGUGUAGGCCGGAGGCAUAGAUAAAAUCCACGGGGUCAGCAUCGCGCCGUAUAUAUCAUCGCGCAGCCAGCGCGAGCGUCCUGGUCCUCGCGGUUCAGACUGACAGCGAUCGGGAGCUGUAUGUGUUCUCGGCCGUCCGAUGUGAGUUGUACCACGUUCAGCCCGGACAGCGAUAUUCACCUACUAUUCAGCCUCUACCGCUACACCAUAGACAGCAGCAUGUCUGCAAAUUGGCCUCUGCGUCUGUAGCUUGCAACGGAGCUCUCUCACGGGCCAGGUGUAUGUGACCGGAACAUCUCUCUGGUCGUUAUCCGGUCAUGUUCUACAGGACACAAGCUUUUCGCCGCAAUUUGCAAGACGUUUUGACAUUUGAAGAUGGACUGGCAUUUCACUCGGACGACUGGUUUCGAACUGGAUUAACGAUUGGAAUAUCUUGUACGGGAAGUAGGACGCAAAAUUAGACCUGCAGCGGUGCGCAAAGCUCCUGCAACAAGUCGCGGUUGAAAACUUUGAAGCAAAACGUAGCUAGGCUUCAUGAAUCCCCAGACAAGAAGAUUGCUGAUCGAGAGAAAGUCUUCUAGAAGAGAAAAUGUUUGCUUUGUUGCUUUUGGAGUGGGUGCAGAAUACUAGUAUUUUCUCUUCUUUCGAACUUCGAAGAGUUGUUUAGCUGAGCUGGUGGUAGCUAGGUUGUGAGCGUUUCUUAGUAUCGA